rnacentral:tRNA from 1 species
GGUUGUAGCACAGUGGUAGCGCUCUUGCCUUACAUGCAUGGGAUACUGGGUUCGAUCCUCAGCACCA